GAGCACGUAGGUGGGUUUGUAAGUCAGAUGUGAAAGCCUUCUGUUUAAAGGAAGAACGGCAUCUGAAACUACAAACCUUGAGUGUAGGAGGGGAGAAUGGAACUUCUGGUGGAGCGGUGAAAUGCGUAGAUAUCAGAAGGAACGCCGGCGGCGAAAGCGAUUCUCUGGCCUAUUACUGACACUCAGUGUGCGAAAGCUAGGGGAGCAAACGGGAUUAGAUACCCCGGUAGUCCUAGCCGUAAACGAUGGGCACUAAGUAGAGGGGU
rnacentral:rRNA from 1 species